GACGAACCGAGCGAACGUUGUUCGGAAUCACUGGGCUUAAAGGGCGCGUAGGCGGGCUGCCAAGUCCGUGGUGAAAUCCCCCGGCUCAACCGGGGAAGGGCCUCGGAUACUGGCGGCCUCGAGGGGGGUAGGGGCGUGCGGAACUGUGGGUGGAGCGGUGAAAUGCGUUGAUAUCCACAGGAACUCCGGUGGCGAAGGCGGCACGCUGGACCCCAU
rnacentral:rRNA from 1 species